CACAUUCCCUGGAAUCUCAAGAGAGACUAAGUCUGAAAUAUAUUUUAUGUGAGUUUAUCACCCCUAAGCUCCUUAUUAGCAUGAGGUCUCACAGAGUUUCUAGAUGAGAAGGUCAUUUUAAAAAUUAUUCAGCGUUAUUGUAUAGUUCUUUUAAAAAAUAAAUUGAAAAGAUAUGAUGGAAAGGAAAUCUGGAGGACAUUUGCUCUGAAUCCCAGCAGUCUUGACUUAAGUGAUGGGCAUACAGGCUUCAAACACUGCCAGUUGGAGCAGGAGGCAGUUAGGAAGACACUGAUUUUUGUCCUGGCUCUGCCUGUAAGAUAUGAUCUAUGCAUGGCAAAGAACUUGGAUAAUUUGUCAGAGCAACGAGGAAGAGUUGCCUGCAAAAGAAGGGAGAUGAAUUAAAUGGUUCUGAAUGUAGGCCAGAAUCUUAGAGAAGAUAUUGCAGCCUGUAAGCAGUGCUCAGGAGUUUUGAAAGGAGCUGACUCAUGAGCCAUGUUCUGGGACACUGCUGAUUCUCAGUGGGCAAGCUGUACUGUGUGUAUUUUGGAGCUCCAUAACACAGACUCAUGCCUUGAAUGGGGGGAUGCCGGGAGGGCUGGGAUGCUUGGAGAGAAAAAGAAAAGAAACAGAAUAUGGCAAGACACUCUACAUGCUAAAGCUUACAGAUGCUUUGAUUACAGGAAACUUACGUAAAUGAUAACAGUGCGCAGAACUAGACGUGGAAGAAGGGAAAAAAUAUGGGAUCCCGACAUAGGCCUUUGUACUCAUAAAAUCACGGGUGAGACUGCUGAAAACAACUGUUGGGAGUUUUAUGAUUUAAUCCCAUUGACUGGAUCACUGAACAGGGCAUUUUUCACUUCCAGUUUUCGUGCUUUAGCUGACCUACGAAAUCUCAUGGUUUUGUUUGGUGACACGUGCUUUUAGGAAAACUUGUUAUUUCUGCUGUUCUGCACUGCCCUGUCUCCACUGAACUGCCUGAUCUCCUGUGGAAUUUACAGUUUCAGCGCAGCCAGCAAAUGCAGGGAAAGAAUGUGUGCUUCAUAGCUGGAGUGCUCCUGAUAACAGUCCAUUCUGGUAUCGGUGGCUGGAAGAGAGAGGGACUGCCACCCAGUGUUUUUACAGUGCCUGUUUCAGGCAGCUUCUAAAUUGACAGCGAAGGGUGGAGUGGGUAGGGGGAGAAACAAGAAAAAAAAAUUCCCUGUCUUUGGGGUGGGGGAGAUAAUUCUAAAAUCUCUGAGAAACUUAAAUAUGGUAAUUCCCUAUUCCAAACAUACACAAGUCACAAGCAACCUUAUUCUUUGGUUUCUAGGCACAUUUUUGAGUUUAGCACAAUAGGGAGAAGAAAAUUGGAGGUUAGCGAAUCCAGUAGGGCAAGAGGUGAAGAGGACUAAAUUUCAGUCAAGACAACAAGGAAAGUACAAAGAAUACAGUUUCUCUUUCAUGUGCUUUGAUCGUCUUUCCUGUUUUACCCUUAAUGAAUACUUUCUCAAAACUAAAAAUAAAACACUGCAUUCUAUUAAAUUGUGCUCUUCCUCUAAGGGAA
rnacentral:lncRNA from 1 species